UACGAAGGGGGCUAGCGUUGCUCGGAAUCACUGGGCGUAAAGGGCGCGUAGGCGGCGUUUUAAGUCGGGGGGUGAAAGCCUGUGGCUCAACCACAGAAUGGCCUUCGAUACUGGGACGCUUGAGUAUGGUAGAGGUUGGUGGAACUGCGAGUGUAGAGGUGAAAAUUCGUAGAUAUUCGCAAGAACACCGGUGGCGAAGGCGGCCAACUGGACCAUUACUGACGCUGAGACGCGAAAGCGUGGGGAGCAAACAGG
rnacentral:rRNA from 1 species